rnacentral:rRNA from 1 species
GACAGAGGGUGCAAACGUUGCUCGGAAUUACUGGGCGUAAAGCGCGUGUAGGUGGUUUCGCAAGUCGGGUGUGAAAGCCCAGGGCUCAACCCUGGAAGUGCACUCGAAACUACGGAGCUAGAGUACUGAAGAGGAGAGCGGAAUUCCCGGUGUAGAGGUGAAAUUCGUAGAUAUCGGGAGGAACACCAGUGGCGAAGGCGGCUCUCUGGGCAGAUACUGACACUGAGACGCGAAAGCGUGGGAAG